AGUCCAGAAACAGAGCAAUCGAGGGGGCGCUGCAGGGGUUCUUGUCAAAAUUCAGUCUAUCUCUGGAGAAAAUCUCAUUGUUGAUGAUGGGAAGGAACCCUGUUUAGAGAUGUGAAAGAAUGAGGAAGAAGGAACAAGAAAGGAAGCAAGAUCUCGUCGGCUUAGAAAGGAAAGAUAUGUUCUGGAAUAUCCCUUUCUGCCUAAAGGUAAAGUUGCCCUUGCAUUGAUUACUGUUCUGCUCCCACACGCUGGAGGGAAGUUCGGACAGCUCCAUCCACUGUGCUGGAAUAGGAAGAUGACUCUGCUCUAGACAAGGGAAGCCGACUCUGGUUGGGGGUGGGGCGAGAUGACCAGUUCUGCGUUCCAUAAACAGAAAGGUUGACACAGAUGGAGCUUACUCUGUGGGGAUGGAAUGAGCUGUACCAAUGGCCCGACCAGACCACGCAGAGCUCAGAAAGGCCAUUCAGUGUGGAGCCCAGACCAUGAAGACCUGGAACAGCCAAGAGCGCCUCCGAACUCAGCCUCCACUCCUUAUGAUGGGGGACUGUACUCUCCAGGAUCAGUUUGUGAAGGAAAAGCCUGAGUCGGCCACUUCCUUGCUGUGGUUCCUCCAUCCCACAGGGCUGUGGGGCUCAGCUGCUCUGCUGCCAACCAAGGGAGAAACUGGUGCCUCAUUUCAGCUGCUUGUCCUCCUGUCUGUCCACAUCUUCACCCUCUUCUCCAGUGAAUCCCCACCAGGAGUACAACUGAGCUUGGGAAUUUGUUUGUUGCUAAUGUCAUGUUGGCUGACAGCCCUUUUCCUCCACACUCAGUCUUCAUCUCAAAAUAAAAGAAACCUCUGGUUUGGUUUGGUUUGGAUUACAAUUCUGCACUGACAGCUUGGUGAAUUUGCACACAUAACCAAAAUUCUUGAGCAAGGCUUGGCAGAAACAGCACCACAGAGGCAAAGGGAGCCUUGCAUGUUAGCCAAGACCAGAAGAGGACCAGUUUGGAAGGAUGGGGAACUAGGCGCCAAAUGAAGAAAUACCCAAGAUCUGUUGUGAAACUGUCAGGAUUCUUCCCACCAUGGAGCAUAGAGCAGGGCAGAUGUACAAAGAAGGCAGGGAAAGAAGAGACUACAGGGAGUCGCAUGCACCCGUGCAUCACAGUUAUAGGAGAUGAACAAUGAGGAAGGUCUGUCUCCUACAAAGAUGCUCGACUUUCGUGUGAGAACACUCCAUCAUGCUUACCAGGCCCGCAGCGUUUCCUCAGAUCUUCAAAUUCUGUAAGCUGUGUACGGCCCGGAGUUCAGAUAGUUCAGAAUAAUCAAAAUUUCCCGUAUCACCAUUUAUAGGUGUUUUCCCUGAAUGACCACCCACAGUAUUGCUUGGGUUUUCCAGGUUAGUGGGGAGCUGGCCUGAACCCUAUGUGUCAUGAACCCAGAAGAUCACAGGACACAGCCAGGCCCGACAUGGUAGGGUGCUGUAAGACCCUGCCUCCUAUAAGUGAGGUACAGGGGUGCAUGUGGUCCCUGAAGUCUCUUCUCCCCCUGCCUUCUCUGAGCAUGGAGAAGAGAAAUGGAGAUCAAGCAGCGGAUGAGUCCUUGGAUGGCAAGCCAGGUGCCUGCUGGUUCUGUCCAUGAUGGGAGCAGCAUAUGGUGUUCGAGAAGAAGCCGGAGAGGUGUAGCUGUGAGUGGGCCAGCUUCGCACUGACCUGUGUCACCCCCACACCCCUAUGGCAUGUGGCUGCCGCUCUCUCCUGUUCCCAGCAUGGGCAGUGUCAUAAAUGCUUUCUUUAUGAUCAUCACUGCAAGCACUCUGUCAAUGUCAUUGGGACAGCGACAAACCGACAAGCCAGGGAUCAAGAAGCAAGGAGAACGAGGCACAGCAGGAGCCUAGAAUAGACCCUGUGCUGGAGAGAAAAUACACUGAAGGUCGCCACGGAGUCGGGAUAAAAGUGGAAUCUGACAGAAGAGUUGAUGGAGUAUAGUGCUGGUGUUAAAUUUACCGAACUCAGUAGCUACGCUGUGAGUGUUUGGGGAUAUCUGUGGUCUUGGGAAACACACUUGAAAUAUUUAGAAGGCAAAUGUUUGGAGGGUAAGUGCUCAGGAUGCACACAGCUCAUUCUAAGUUUUGAGAAAUUGCAUGUAUCUAUCUUGAGAGAGAAAAUAUGUAGUGUACAAUCACCAAAGGAUACAGGGCAAAUGUCAACACAGGAACAUGGGGCAAACUCGGGUGCCCCAAAUGUGCAGUUUGUAGUCUCCAGAUUGAAUUGUGAUUCUUCUGUGGCACAGACCUUCUUCAAACAUACCACACAUGACAUUUUCUCCAACGUUUGAGCCCUGGGCUUCAUUUCUAACAUGUUUGUGGUUGUUCUGUGUUGUCUUGUUUCAUAUUCUCUCCCUCUCCCUCUCUCUUUCUCCACCUCAGUUCCCCACGGGGUCUCACUCCUAAGUCCGGGAGUCCAGGCUGGCUUAGCACUUACGACCUUCCUGCCUCCACCUCUUGGAAUCAUUGGUGUGUACACCGUCACAUCUGACGUCUGACACAUAUGCCGAUUUCAUCUGCACAGUUCAAUAUAUGAUAUCUCAAAAUAGCAAGACAUAUGCAUAACAAGGAAUGUGUUGGUUCCUUGAGCCUGGUUCCUCACACAGCACAGCUAUAACCCUGGGAACGUGGGGUACACUAUUCUUUAAUGUGAUCAGUUUUAGUGGGAUCCCAGCUGGAUGUUAGUCACCAAGACCAAACUACAAUCAGGAGUUUGGAGCUCCACUCAGCCCUUCCCUCUGGGAGAAGGGAGGAUGGGGAAGUUGAGUUAAUAACUAGUCUCCCCUAGUGGCAGUGCCUCCAUGACACCCUUGAACCACACCGGGUACUGUGUCUAUAUGUUAAGAAGAUGGUGCAUCCCAGUCCAUGCAGAUGGAGGGUCCUGUGCUCAGGGCCCACAGACAUUGCAUUUCCCUGUGCAUCCAUGUUUUCUUGUUGUAAACCAACUACUGUAUCUCCCUGAGCUUCGAGAGCUGCCACAGCAAGCUACCAAACCUGAGGCUAUGGAUAUGUCAUUGAAUUGUGGGUAACUUGAUUAGUGUCACCUAGGAAAAUGGAACCUCCAGUGAGAAAUCGCCUUCAUCACCCUGGCCUGUGGGCAUGCUGUGGGGCAUUAUUGAUUUAUGGGGGUGGAGCAGGCAGGGAGGAGGUUCACUGUGGGCAGUGCAACUCCUGGGUACAUGGCCUUGGCUAUUUGAGAAAGCAGUCUGAGCAAUCAGGGAGAGCAAGGCAGUGAGCAGUACCCCUCAAUAGUCUCUGCUUCAGUUCCUGCCUUCAGGUUCCUGCCUUGAGCUCCUGGGUUGGCUUUUCUGAAUGACAGUUGAGAACAAACAAACCCUUUCCUGUCCAAGGUGCCUUUGGUCUUGGUGUUUGAGUGAAAAUGGCUCCCUAGGGCUUAUAGGGAGUAGGUGUGGCCUUGUUGGAGGAAAUGUGUGUCAAAGGGGCAGGACUUUGAGGUUUCCAAAGCUCAAGCCAGGCCCAGUGGCUCAUUCUCUCUUCCUGCUGCCUGCAGAUCCAGAUGUUGAACUCUCAACUCCUCCAGCACCAUGUCUGUUGCCAUGUUUCCCACCAUGGUGAUAAUGGACUACACCUCUGAAAUGUAAGCCAGCCCCAAUUAAAUCUUUUUAUUUGUG
ensembl:lincRNA Gm15348 predicted gene 15348